rnacentral:rRNA from 1 species
AGAGUUUGAUCCUGGCUCAGGAUGAACGCCGGCGGUGUGCCUAAUACAUGCAAGUCGAGCGCACUGGCCCAACUGAUAUGACGUGCUUGCACUGAAUUGACGUUGGAUUACCAGUGAGCGGCGGACGGGUGAGUAACACGUGGGCAACCUGCCCUGAAGCGGGGGAUAACAUCUGGAAACAGGUGCUAAUACCGCAUAACAACGAAAACCACAUGGUUUUCGUUUCAAAGAUGGUUUCGGCUAUCACUUCAGGAUGGGCCCGCGGUGCAUUAGCUAGUUGGUAAGGUAACGGCUUACCAAGGCAAUGAUGCAUAGCCGAGUUGAGAGACUGAUCGGCCACAAUGGAACUGAGACACGGUCCAUACUCCUACGGGAGGCAGCAGUAGGGAAUCUUCCACAAUGGGCGCAAGCCUGAUGGAGCAACACCGCGUGAGUGAAGAAGGGUUUCGGCUCGUAAAGCUCUGUUGUUGGAGAAGAACGUGCGUGAGAGUAACUGUUCACGCAGUGACGGUAUCCAACCAGAAAGUCACGGCUAACUACGUGCCAGCAGCCGCGGUAAUACGUAGGUGGCAAGCGUUAUCCGGAUUUAUUGGGCGUAAAGCGAGCGCAGGCGGUUGCUUAGGUCUGAUGUGAAAGCCUUCGGCUUAACCGAAGAAGGGCAUCGGAAACCGGGCGACUUGAGUGCAGAAGAGGACAGUGGAACUCCAUGUGUAGCGGUGGAAUGCGUAGAUAUAUGGAAGAACACCAGUGGCGAAGGCGGCUGUCUGGUCUGCAACUGACGCUGAGGCUCGAAAGCAUGGGUAGCGAACAGGAUUAGAUACCCUGGUAGUCCAUGCCGUAAACGAUGAGUGCUAGGUGUUGGAGGGUUUCCGCCCUUCAGUGCCGGAGCUAACGCAUUAAGCACUCCGCCUGGGGAGUACGACCGCAAGGUUGAAACUCAA